UUCCACCUACGGGAGGCAGCAGUGAGGAAUAUUGGUCAAUGGACGCAAGUCUGAACCAGCCAUGCCGCGUGCAGGAUGACGGCGCUAUGAGUUGUAAACUGCUUUUGUACGAGGGUAAACCCCGAUACGUGUAUCGGGUUGAAAGUAUCGUACGAAUAAGGAUCGGCUAACUCCGUGCCAGCAGCCGCGGUAAUACGGAGGAUCCGAGCGUUAUCCGGAUUUAUUGGGUUUAAAGGGUGCGUAGGCGGUUUGAUAAGUUAUAGGUGAAAUGUCGGGGGUCAACCCCGAAACUGCCUCU
rnacentral:rRNA from 1 species